UACGUAGGGGGCAAGCGUUGUCCGGAAUCAUUGGGCGUAAAGAGCGUGUAGGCGGCCUGAUAAGUCGGCUGUGAAAGUCAAGGGCUCAACCCUUGAAUGCCGGCCGAUACUGUCAGGCUAGAGUCCGGAAGAGGCGAGUGGAAUUCCUGGUGUAGCGGUGAAAUUCGUAGAUAUUGGGAAGAACACCAGUGGCGAAGGCGGCUCACUGGUCCGAUACUGACGCUGAGGUGCGAGAGCGUGGGGAGCGAACCGG
rnacentral:rRNA from 1 species